UGGGGAGUGAUUUCCUGUCCCUGCUGUGUCCCUAACAAGGUCUCUGAGGAUGUUAAUAAGCAAAAUACUCUUACGAUUUCUCUUUGCAAUACUGUUCUUUAAAAUAAUGUCAAGUAAUGAUGCACAGAAGAGGUGCCAAGAAUCUGCCUUUCAUACAGCUGUCUCUAAAUACAUUGUGCUUUGGAGAACCAGAGGAAGAGGAAGAGAGAGCUACAUAGGAGUUCACAAUAUGCUCCCUGGGAAUGCUUGUUAAAAGAAGAAGUACUUCUGUCUGCAUCUGGUGAAGUCAGCCCCAAAGUAGAUGAAAUACUAAACAGCACUGGCCAGAGAUUAUGCACCCUGAUGCUCAUAGUGUCCCGACUACUAUUGGAAAAUGGUUGUCCAUGUGUUUUUGUUAAUGAAUUGACCAGACGGAGAAAAAAAUACAGAGAAUAUACAGAAAUCCCUACUAAAAAAGAUUCAAGUAGUCAUGAAGUUCAAAACCAGCACCAGUGGUGUUUCAGUCUGACAGAUCACCUGCAUGAAAUGGUGGAGUUCAAGAUCCUUAGGGCUGUGAGGAGGUUGCACAGCAUGUUUACUACCCUGGACUUCAGGAGAGCAGACUUUGGCCUCUUCUGGGAUUAGCUUAGUAGAAUACCAUGGGAUAAAACCCUGGAAGGAAGAAGAUCACCUCCUUCAAAUACAGGAAUGAUGCAUCCAUCAAGAGAAAGUCAGGCAGAAACACCAGGAGGCCCGCAUGGGUGAACAGGGAGCUCCUGGACAAACUCAAACAGAAAAAGCUUCUCUCACCUGUUUCUCUCCCCCAUCCCAGAGAGGGAGGGGGGUGGAUGAGCGAACGGAUGUGUGGUGUUUAGCUGCCGGCCGGGUUAAACCAUAACAGUUGCUUAGCCACUAUCCAUCAUAUUUGAUAAGUUGUGGCAGUCUGCUGAAGUUCCUGCUGACUGGAAAAAGGGAAACAUAACCCACAUUUUUAAAAAGGGAAAAAAGGAAGACGUAGGGAACUACAUGCCAGUCACACCUUUUUGCCAGCAAGAUCAUAGAGUGGAUCCUCAUGGAAACUAUGCUAAAGAACAUGGAAUAUGAGGAGGUGACUGGUGACAGUCAACAUAACUUCACAAAGGGCAAAUUGAGCCUGACAAAUUUGGUGGCCUUCUUAUGAUGGGGUUACAGCAUUUGUGGAUAGGGGAAGAGCAACAGACGUCAUUGAACUGACAUCAUUUAUCUGGAGAUGUGCAAAGCAUUUGUCACUGUCCCACAUGAUAUGUUUGUCUCUAAAUUGGAUAGAUGUGGACUCAAUGGAUGGACCACUCAGUGGAUAAGGAAUUGCCUGGAUGGUUGCAUCAAAGAGUUGCAGUCAACAGCUUGAUGUCCAAGCAGAGACUAACGACAAGUGGUGUUCAUCAGGGGUUGGUAUUGGCACCGUUACUGUUUAAUGUCUUUGGCCAGCAGGUGAUCCUCCCUCUCUGCUCUGCUCUCAUGAGACCCCACCUGCAGUGCUGUGUUCAGCUCUGGGGCCCCCAACAUCAGAAGGACAUGAACCUAUUGGAGCAAGUGCAGAGGAGGGCCAUGAACGUGAUCAGAGGGCUGGAGCUCUCUUAUGAGGACAGGCUGAGACAGUAGGGGUUGUUAAGCCUGGAGAAGGGAAGGCUUCAGGGAGACCUUACAGAAGCCUUCCUGUACUUAAAGGAGACCUACAAGAAAGCUGGAGUUGGACUUUUUACAAGGACAUGUAGUGAUGGAACAAGGGGUAAUGGCUUUAAAUUGAAAGGUGGAGGAUUUAGAUUACAUAUAAAGAAGAAAUUCUUCACUAUGGGGGUGGUGAAGCUCUGGAAGAGGAUGCCCAGAGAAGUUGUGGAUGCCCUGACCCCGGAAGGGUUCAAGGCCAGGUUGGAUGGGGCUUUGAACAACCUGGUCUAGUGGGAGGUGUCCCUGCCCCUGACAGGGGGUUGAAAUUAGAUGAUCUUUAAGGUCCAUUCCAAACCAAACCAUUCUGUGAUUGCUCGAGUAUUAAGUCCCGACACUGUCAUUAGGUUUCAGUAGGUCAAGAAUAUGGGUUGCACCACAAGCAGACUGGAAAGUGCAAAAUGUGAUUUAUUUUUUUUUGACGUGCUUUUUGAUGUUGUCAUACAAAAAGACAGGCCUCUAAUAUUCUUCUGCAUACAGAUGACACCAUUAAAAAAUCUAAGGUUUAACUAUUAGGUUCAUAACUUGAUUAGAAAAGUCCAUCAGCAAAAGAAUACGGAUAAUGUCUUGUGUGUAUAUAAACUAAAUUUAUAGAAAACAACAUUUCUAGCUUUCUAGCAUUCUGCAAUUCCAGGGGGAAAAAAAAAAAAAAAAAAAAAAAGUAUUUGCUGCAAGUUCUCAUAAUGAAUAUUUGAGCUUCUCUAAUGUCUCUUUCUCAGUAAUUUUUUUAAAGCUUGAAUUAUGUCCUCCAGUUCCCCUCCAUGGUAGGUCACAGUUAUUAUUUCCCUUAAAACAAGUGAAGAAGGUUAGGAAGAUACACAUUAUUUUCCUCAAUAAUGUGUGAUGAAUAAAUGACAGAAGCAGAAAUUAUAUCCUGCUGUUCUAACUGUUAUACUGUUAUAUUUCAUGGCUUGUAAUGCCAUGGGAAGUAAGAUCAACACUUUGUCAGAGUGACUAAGCAGUCGGAGUUGCUGUGUUAAUGUUGAAAUCUCUCAUAGGAUUUGGUUUCAUUUGACAAUUACAUUCAAUUAGAAAACACCCUUAAGUGACUUCUCAAGGUUGUGGUUUAACUUGGUGUGGUUUCCAAGUGAAGAAAACCCCUGGAGGAGAUAUUAUUAAUUGUACUUUUCACAGCAUUUCUUUAGGAGCAGCCAAGGUCAGUGCCAUUUUCCAAGGCACUCUGCAGAUGAGUGACCAGGAACUUCUUCUGUUUACAUAGUUUAGAAUAAAAAUGGACAAGUGAAACAAAUUACUACGGCAAAUGUCAUUCUUUUGAGGGAGGACAGAGCAAGAAAGGAGCUUUUCUAAAGAGAGAGCUAUAAGGUAAUCCUGAGAAUAAAGCUUUUGGAAAACAGCUGGGCAAAGUUCUAAUGUGCUUCCUUCUUCAUGUCACAAUUCUUGUUUUUGUGUGGACACCACAUGCAGUUAUUUCUCAUAAUCUUCUUGCUCUGCCUGUUUUUUUGGAUUUGGACUCUCCAGCUUCCCUUUACCUAUUUUCAAGACUAAAGGCCUUGCUGGUAAUGUGAUGGAAAGUGUUACAAGACACCAAAAGUUCACAGAAAGGCCUACUGGCCAAUCCCAAUACAAGUGGAUACUGAUUCAUACUGAUUGAUUCCCUCCCCCCAACUUUUUUUUUUUUUUCCUCAGUAAGAGAUUCCAGAAACAAAUGGAAAAGGAACAAUUUUGAGAGAUAUAUCAUCUUAGGAUAUUGUGAAUCUACCUUGCUGCUUGCCAGUAUUCUGUAGCAUCUUAAAUAUAAUUUUCAAAGCCUCUUAUUCUAACAGGAAGGAAAGAAGACAAUGCUUAGUUCUGUAAGUCAUCUUCAUUGCCAUUUUAUUUCUUUUCCAAUACUGAACAACUUUCCAAGCAGCUGAGCCAAAAGGACAAGUGAGUUAAAUGUUCAGAUUAGCCUAUAAACUUCAAGCUGCAGUGAGCCAUGGAAUCAGACUUAAUUUGCUCUGUUCCUAGCUUCCUUCCCACUCUCCAAGGCAAGAGUCUCUUAAACAGAUCUUUCCUCUGAUUUGGUCUUAAAUUCAGCUUUACUGACAUUCACUUGCGAUCAACAAUAUCAAACAGUUCAUAUGAAUACCUAGUUUAUUUGGACCAUAGGAGUUUGAGGUUGAGAUUAAAGAUAAUACUUUAGUUCAGGAAGGAAAAUGAAAAUAUGUUUUAAGUGCUUGAUUAGACAAGAAAACUACACAUGUCAAUCCUAUAGACCUGCCAAUAUACAAUUAGUAAUAGGCAUACCUAAUAUAUCUAAUAAUUGGAAAAAAAUGUAAUGUGUGAAGAUAUGCAAAUUAUCCCAGAUUUUAGUAGAAUACUUCUGCACCUGCUACUUUUACAUAAUUUGUCAGAAGCAAAAUUUGAUUGCAUGUUAUUGAGACUAGAUUUCAGAAAAGAAACAGUUCAGAUUUUAGAAGUUUUUCAGUACACACCUAGUGAAGCAGCUCAAGGUCAACACUGCCUUAACAGAAUGAAAAAUAAUGUAUGUCUUUAAAAAUAGGGGAUUUAAAACCAAUCUCAACAAUUUGGGAUUUACGAAGAGUUUUAACUUAUUUUUAUAAUUACAAGUAAUUUUUUUAUAUAUAAAUGGCCUAACAGCACCAUCUUCUGACAAGCUGUAAUUUCUGCAAUAACCUUGAAAAGCACUUCUAGUCCUUUGCAUACAUAUUUUUGUUGCUGUCACAAAGAAAACAGAUUCUAGGGAAAUAAAUGUGUUAUCCCAUGUAUCCUAAGAGAAGACAUUGAUUGAGAGACCAGGGAAGUCAGUUACUGCCCGAUUUCUUCUUCUUGCUUAAGAUAGUGAUAGAAUUUCAUUCAGAUGUAAUUGUGCCUCAAAUUGUUGUUGAAAGGUUUGCUGCAGAAACAUUUUAAAGAUAUACUCUUGUCAAACACUUGGAAAGAGGUAAUUUAUAUGUAAUUUCAACAGCAGUUCUACCAACUUCAGAUGUCUUGUAGCAUUACUGUGAAAGUAAAAAUAUUAUAUAUGUCAUAUUUUCUAACCCAGAGUUGCUGUAUUUGUACAACUAAAGCUGCUGACAGUUUUGUAUUGAAAUAUGCAAAAUAAAUCAACAUUGAUAGUUUAAAUACAGUUUUGAUCUGUUUAGGGCAACAAUGGUUCUAGGUGAGUGCAUUUUGGCAAAGGUGCUUUAACUCAUGUUUGGUUUAUGUUAUCUGUGAGCUUAGGUACUUGAUCACUUACCAUGAAAUCAAGGGUUAAUGCACAGAAUCAGUACUGAUGGGACUGCACACUCCCAUCUAUCAAAAAGCACAAGGUGACAUUGGACAAUCUUGGUAAUAUCUGGUUCUUGGUUUUGGUUCAUCUUGAAUUCAAUUUGGGUCUCAUUUCUUUAACCUCCAUUUUUGGUAGGGCCUAACCUUUCAGUCAGAUCUUGUAUUUCCCAGUCAAAAGCCACUCCUACUAUAUAAUCUGUCAUCAUUUAUGUAUAUAGCUACAGUUAUUGUAAAAUUAAUAUUUUUCAAGUUUGAGUUAAUUUUUUAGUAAGUAAACAGUGCUAUUCUAUGGAAGUUGCUUUAUAGAUGUUAGAAGGUAAGAGGUAGAGUCUUUAGAAAGUUUACUUACCUUCUUUGUUAAAAUAAGGAGUUCCAGCUUCACAUAGUAAACUCCUGUAUUAUUAGAGGCAUUUAGAAAUAUUUGGUACAUUUUUGCUGGUGGUGGUAGCUGCAGCUGUAAUGAGUGUUCUCAAGUCUUGAUUGAGAAUCAUCCAACCUCCUCAAAAGAGUGGUAAUAUAAAGAGUACUGAAACAAUUUAUAGAACAGCGACUAUGUAUCUCAAGGGAACGAGCUCUAUUUCAUAUUAUUCCAAGUAAUUUGCACACAUACAUACACAUUUAUAUUAGAUACCUGCAAGAUAUCUUUUUAGGUAAUCACUGUUUUCAUAUGUAUUCAUGAGGAUUUAGCCAGAUAAGUGUUCCCUGUACUCAUGAUGAGUUACACAUUAACACAAUUAAAUGUUAGUUGUAUCACCAGUGACUUAAUAAGAAAAUGCUCUACACAGCUGUAAUGGCUAUAAGCCUGUAGUAGAAGUAACUGAAAAGUUUUAGACUGUCAUCAUGAAGUGUGUUACUUAUGAACGGUGUUCAAAGAAUCUUAUAUAUGAAUGAGUGAAAAAAAUAAAAAAUUUCCAGUCCUAAAUCAGUAGAUGAAACAUUAAAUAAUAUAAUACAUUUUCAGAAUGAAAGAUAAGAAACUUUGAGGAAAGUGGAAAUGAGAAUUUGUCCUCAUUAUCAUUUUGUUGAUUAUACCAUAAAUCUUUCAUGUUUGUUGUGCUGGAGCAUGGCUUACAUAUGUAGGCCCUUACAGCUCUAAAAACAUAGCAGAAAAAAUGUGUAUUGUAUUUUCAUCCAGAAAUGAAAGUUUAGAUAUAUUUUCAUAUCAUUGCAUUGCAACUUGAAGACAUUGAUGCCCUACUGUUGCAGUCAUUUCCUUUGCAAAGGUAUUGAUUUAUAGUAUUGAUUUUACUUCUAGAAAAAAAAGUAUUGUACUUCUGGAAGAAAGCAGAGUUUGACGUUCAUAAGUGUACUAUAUUUUCAUAUAUAUGUACCAAGGGAGGAAAACUCCAGUUACAGAAGUCAAUUCUGUUCUAGCCAUCUGUCAUUCAACUUACAAAUAUUUUUGGUAUAUAUUGCAAAAAAACAAAAGUUAGAUCAUAUACUGCAUUUAAUUUUAAAAAGACAUUGAGAACAAAAUACUGAUAACCAUCUGUAUAACUUUUUUUUUUUGCAUAAAUUAAAGAAAUCUAAUAAUUUGAGAAAUAUUUGCUAAAGUUGGCAUGAGGCUCAGAAUAACUGAUAUGCACCCCUGAUCUCAAAAUAGAAAAACUGAUUACUUUUCAGACUGUGUAGUAAGAUUUUUCUAUGGCAGGAACUCUGGAACUUCUUUUUUGAUUUCCUGUUUAUUCAAGUUAAACAAUCCAAUAAUAAUUGGAACAAAUAAAACAGUUUUACUGAUCUAUGAUUAAUGAGUGUUCUCAAGUCUUGAUUGAGAAUCAUCCGACCGCCUCAAAAGAGUGAUAAUAUAAAGAGUACUGAAACAAUUUAUAGAACAGCAACUAUGUAUCUAUAGUUCAUAUCAUAUAAACUAUGUAUGUAUAGUUUAUUCUAUAAACUAUAGAAUAUAGUUUAUAAACUAUAAUUAUAUAAACUAUAGAAUAUAGUUUAUAAACUAUAGAAUAUAGUUUAUAGUUAGUUAGUUAGUAUAGUUAGUAAAGUAGUAUAGUUAGUAGUAGUUAGUAUAUAGUUAGUAUAGUUAGUAAACUAUAGAAUAUAGUUUAUAGUUUAGAAUAUAGAACUAAAGAAGAUGGUUAGUAGGAUGAUCUUCCUUGAGAUGCUAAAGACAAAAAAAAAAAAAAAAAAAAAAAAAAAGAUGCCAAAAAAUGAUUUUAUUUCUGAGCUUCUUUGUUCAGAAAUAUUUACCAAAAAUAUAGUAUAACUUAAGCUAAGAUG